GUGUAUGUGAAGUAGGGCGGGGGGGAGCCCGUCCUUUGGCGGAGCCGACUGGAAGCCGCGCUGGCGGCGGCGUGAUCCGCUCUGGACGAGAGGGUAGCCGAGGAAGGCAAUAAAGGGGUCCUGGGGUAUGUGGAAACGAGGAGGACCUGGAUGAGGCAAUUGAACCGAGCAAGUUCUCACAAAUAUUGAAUGGCACUCCUGUUUCAAACACAGCCAGCGUUGGGAUGGAUCCCUCCCAUGCUUGUAGCAUUCUCCAGCAGCUCAAAGCAAUGUAUGAUGAAAGACAGCUGACAGAUAUUGUGGUGGAAGUAGAUCAUGGGAAAACUUUUUCUUGUCAUCGGAAUGUUCUUGCUGCAAUCAGUCCUUACUUCAGAUCAAUGUUCACUAGUGGCCUUACUGAGAGUACCCAGAAAGAAGUUCGGAUUGUUGGUGUUGAAGCAGAGUCCAUGCAUUUAGUACUGAACUAUGCAUAUACCUCCAGAGUAACACUGACAGAGGCCAAUGUCCAAGCUUUGUUCACUGCAGCUAGUAUCUUCCAGAUCCCUUCUAUCCAGGACCAGUGUGCUAAAUACAUGAUCAGUCAUUUGGAUCCUCAGAACUCCAUUGGAGUGUUUAUCUUUGCUGAUCAUUAUGGGCAUCAGGAACUGAAAGUCAGCUCACAAGAUUACAUUCGUAAAAAGUUCCUGAGUGUCACCAAAGAACAAGAGUUUCUCCAACUGAGGAAAGACCAACUCAUAAGCAUACUGGACAGCAAUGAUUUAAACGUUGACAAGGAAGAGCAUGUCUAUGAAAGCAUUAUAAGAUGGUUUGAACAUGAACCCAACAAAAGAGAAGUCCACUUGCCGGAAAUUUUUGCCAAAUGCAUCCGCAUGCCCCUGUUGGAUGAAGCAUUCGUAGAGAAAAUUCCUCCCAUGUUUGCACAGGCUAUAGCCCAAAACUGUGUACAGAAAGGAGAAAGUAGUGCCAAUGGCUAUACCCAACGGCUUGGAAUGACUGCUUCAGAAAUGAUCAUCUGCUUUGAUGCUGCCCACAAACACUCAGGAAAGAAGCAAACAGUGCCUUGUUUAGAUUCCGUCACAGGGAGAGUGUUCAAACUAUGCAAACCACCCAAUGAUUUGCGGGAAGUGGGGAUUCUUGUGUCUCCCGACAAUGACAUUUACAUUGCUGGAGGGUACAGACCAAGCAGCAGUGAGGUCUCCAUAGACCACAGAGCAGAAAGUGACUUCUGGAUGUAUGAUCAUUCAGGCAAUAGAUGGAUCCCUAAGACUCCACUGCUUCGUGCCAGAAUAGGCUGCAAACUGGUUCAUUGCUGUGGUAAAUUGUAUGCAAUAGGUGGCCGGGUGUAUGAAGGAGAUGGGCGCAACUCCCUGAAAUCUGUGGAGUGUUACGAUGGCCGAGAGAACUGCUGGACAGCUGUCUGUCCAAUGCCUGUAGCAAUGGAGUUUCAUAAUGCUGUGGAAUAUAAAGACAAUAUCUAUGUUUUACAGGGUAAGAUGCUUUGUGUCCCUAUGGUAUAUGUGUGGGAGCAUCUACAAGUGGAACGUUUCACAGAAAAAUUCUCAUUCAGGCCUUUACUUCUGAAUAACUUUAUUGAGGGUUAUAGCUUGUAUAAAGGAAGGUUUCUGCUUAUGUCCACCUAAACUGUAGUCAAAGGGAAGUUAAUUACUUUGUGACCUAUGUAUUGCCUGCUUUUUUAUCUUGGUAAUACUAGUUUGUAUCCAUUGCUUAGCAUUUGUUUGACACAUACCGUCAGUAGUUAUUACUUGAUGGAGGAGAAAAAUGGCACUGUGUGUAGUUGAUGUUACAACAUAUUCCACUACUUAAAAGUUAUGGUAGAAUGUGCUGGGACUGCUGUCCACACCACAAAGUGAAUGAUUUCAGGAAACACGAGCAGCAGCAUUUGCUCGGUGGCCGAGUACAUGGCUUGCAUGUGGAGGGUCCUAGAUUUAGUCCCUGACAAUACUAGUGAAAAGGACUUUGGGUAGCAAUGCUGGGAAAGACCUGUCACUGUGUGAGGACCUGGGAAGUUACUGUCAUUCAGAAAAGACUAGUCUGGUUAGGUAUAAGCAGUGAUGUGGGGUGGAACAUUAUCCAAAAUGGACAAUUUGUCAGAAUUAUCUAGUGCUUAUCUUUUCCUUGGAAAAUAUUCCAUUUCAUAAGUUCAUUAGUAACAGUGAUCGGAUGCCAGUUGCAAAUACAAUACAGUCGUACCUCAGCUCCCGAAUUAUCGAAAACCGGAAGUGAGUGUUCCGGUUUUUUAAUGUUCUUUCAGAAGCCAAACAUCCAAUGGGGCUUCCAAUUGGCUGCAGAAGUCAAUUGGAAGCCGCACUUUGAAAGUUGAAUAGUCUUCAGGAACAGAUUCUGUUCGACUUCCGAGGUACAAGUGUAUUAUACAAGUGUGGGAGUACAAAGUUGUUGAUUUUCUUUGUUAAAUGCAAGUAAAACACACUAAAUUAGGUCACUCUCUAGGGCCUGAGAAAAUUAUCAGUGCAUAUUAUCUUACGCAAUUUUGCCUAAUUUGCAUUGAGAUUUUUUUUCCAGAAACCUUGCAUCACUGGAUAUAAGGAAAUUCUGGAUCUUCUAUGCAGCACUUGCCUCUGCAUAUGAUUCUGUGAUUUCUGCUCCCACUCCCCCCAAGUAUUCUUUUUUCUAUUCAUAAAUAAGGGGAGCCAGAAAUAAUUAGUUAUGGAUGGGAAGGAAUAAACUAGUCAUCCUCUUUGCUUGCCUAUUUUCCAUCCAUCCAUCCGAUCCUUCUUAUGCAUAUAUACCCCAGUGUUGCCCCUACCAACAGAGCAGCCAUCCUCAUGUCACCAAACCCUUGGCUUAAGUGGAAUUGCUGUUUCAAAUCACGCUGGAGGCUGCUUCUAUAGAAAUGGCUUUUAGAGGAGCCUUGUGAUUGAUAUUGAAGCAAACCUAGUUAAUCCAGGAAAUCCCUGGAUUUGGUAGGAGUGUCCUGGAGAUACAUGGAGAUCUAUAACAUAACAAGAUAAGAGUGUGUGUGGAAAUGGGAAGGUGAAAAUGGCUUAAAUUAAUAGUAGGAUAAGAUGCAUCUGACAUUUUUAUGGGAUUUGAUGCUCCUUUCUAAAGCAUCAGCAGUUUCUCCCUUUUUUCCCUAGCUUUAUUGUGCUGCUUCAAAGAGAGACAAUAGCAAGACAGGCAAAAAAAGGUCAGGUAGAUGUAUUGGAAGACAGGAGUGCCUGGCGUGCUCUGGUCCAUGGGGUCACAAAGAGUCGGACACGACUAAACGACUAAACAACAAGAAGAUGUAGCUUCUUUUCUGUCUUGGAGGAUUCGUAGCACAUAACAUUUGAAGUCCCUAUUGCUGAUAAAAUCUGGUUCAGUCCCACCUCUUCCGUACUCUUAACAUUAUGCAAAGUGUCUGUAGUGAGGUGGUUCCUGUAGUGAGGUGGAAAGGGUUAAAAAAGAAGCAGAAUUCCUGGGAAAUUUUGUUUUCCUAUUACAAUGGGCCUGCUGCCUGGGACAAGGCAAAAGACAUUUAGACGAAUACUUCUCAUUCUUCCCUGCCCUGUAUAAUAAUAAUAAUAAUAAUAAUAAUAAUAAUAAUAAUAAUAAUAAUAAUAAAAAUUAUACCCCACCCAUCCGGCUGGGUUUCCCCAGCCACUCUGGGCAGCUCCCAACAGAUUAAAAACAGAAUAAAAAAUCAAAUAUUAAAAAUUUCCCCAAACAGGGCUGCCUUCAUACUUGGUCAGGGGUGGGGCACUAUGGCCCUCUGGAUGUUGGAUUAGCACUCCCAUCAUAUCUGUCCAUGGGCCAUGAUGUAAGUUAGGAGUGCAAACAACCUCCAGAAGGCUGAAGAUUUCCCAUCUUUCAUUUUUUAAACUGGUUUUUAAUUUCAAAUAAUAAAACAUACCCGUACAAGGAAAACUUAGAGCUUAGCGGUUGUACAGAAAAGAAAGAAAAAUAGCAGCUGAUGGUUGUUGUAGUUUUAGACAUUCCAAGAAAGGCAAUAAUAUGAAAGUGUCUCUAUACAGUGGUACCUCUACUUACAAAUAACUCUACUUACAACUUUUUCUACUUACGAAUGGAGCUCCGUCCGCCAUCUUGGAUGCGGUUUAGAUAGAUUUAUUCCACUUACGAAUUUUUAGAUAGGGUUGCUUCGACUUACGAAUUUUUUCUCCCAAUGCAUUCCUAUGGGAUUCGACUUACAAUUUUUUUCGACUUACAAAUGUGUGUUCGGAACACAUUAAAUUCGUAAGUAGAGGUACCACUGUAUAAGGUUCUAUGAAUAGACGGAGGGUGAAAACCAAGUUCAAUUGUCUUAAGAAAGUUAAUAAAAGGCUACCAUGUUCUGUGGAAGGUGUGAGUCCGAGAUCAAUAUUCCUUUUGUGAAAUGGUUAAUUUAUCCAUAAGCAUGAUGCCCCAUACUUGCAAAAUCGAGGCUUCAAAAAGAUUUACAUUUAAAUAAUGCAAAUAGCUGCAGUUAAUAAAUAGAGGAUGAGGUCUUUAUUGGUUAUGUUCUUAAUCCAGGGGGUAAAAUAGAAUCAUAGAGUUGGAAGAGACCACAAGGGCCAUCCAGUCCAACCCCCUGCCAAGCAGGAAACACCAUCAAAGCAUUCCUUACAUAUGUCUGUCAAGCCUCCGCUUAAAGAUCUCCAAAGAAGGAGACUCCACCACACUCCUUGGUAGCAAAUUCCACUGCCGAACAGCUCUUACUGUCAGGAAGUUCUUCCUAAUGUUUAGGUGGAAUCUUCUUUCUUGUAGUUUGAAUCCAUUGCUCCGUGAAAGAAAAGAAAGUAGGGCUAAUUUUGAGUCCGGUUGCAGUGUUUGUCCCAACAUCUGAUUAAUGUUUGUAGAACUUUUCCCCAAAAGGGAAUAAUUUUGGGGCAAAGCCACCACAUGUACUAGAGAGCAAGGCAAAUUGCAUUCUUGCCAGCAAAUGUUGGAUGUUUUAAGUUUCUGUUGUUGUUUAGUCGUGUCCGACUCUUCGUGACCCCAUGGACCAUAGCACGCCAGGCACUCCUGUCUUGCACUGCCUCCCAUAGUUUGGUCAAACUCACAUUAGUAGCUUCAAGAACACUGUCCAACCAUCUCGUCCUCUGUCGUCCCCUUCUCCUUGUGCCCUCAAUCUUUCCCAAAACAUCAGAGAGUUGGCCAAAAUAUUGGAGUUAAGAUUAAGUCUAUAUAAUCUGUCUGGGCACAUGUACUAGCGAUGUGCUUUUCUCGAGUUCUAAUUGAGAUGGAUCCAAGUGGUAGCUUAUCCCAAAAUUGUUCCCAGAGUUGAAACAAAAAAUUAAAAAAAAUCCUUCCAGUAGGACUUUAGUUUGUCAUUCGUAUGAGAUUGCGUGUGCAUGCACACGAGUUGUUACUUUAAGUCUCAAAAAUCUCUUCCGCAUUUUAGUCUUCAUGAAGUGAGAAGAAGGAUAGUCAAUUGUGUGAGGUUUUUAUAUAGUUGGAAGUUGAUUCCCUUUCCCAGAGGGUUGGUUGAGUUGAGUAGUUGCUCAAAACUAUUUAAGCUGUGUAAUGCUGAUUUAGAAAAUUUAUAAUGUGUAUCUCCAACCAGCCACCUGGUAUAUCUCCCAAUUUAAAAUUUAUUUCUGGAGCUGUAAAGGGCUUUUGAUAAAUGUAGAAGAUUCUGAAUUUAUCUAAUCCCACUGUUUCCCAUUUUCCAAAUGAGCCUGAUUUGGCUGCUGUGCACAAGGAAGAAUGUUGAGUUCUUAGGACUAAAGGAAAUCAAAAGGUAAAUGUUUCGGUCUCCCUUCCAUGUGGUCAAAUCCGAUUUUAGAAAUGGGUUAAUAAUGUCUUCUGAUGUCUUGUUCAUUUUCUGAUAAGGGAGUGAAUGCAUAAAGUCUUGACAUGUAUCAUCCUCCUUUUUUAACCAUGGGACCUGGUCUGAGCCUUGUAUAAUCAAAAGAAUAUUGUGUAAGUAAGGGAGCAGAGUCCUUCUAUUUUUUUUAGGUUAGGUAUUGCUUUUCCUCCUUUCUUGACUCUAUAAAGGGUUUUAUGAGGUAGUUGAGGUUUCUGGUUUGCAUGAAUAAAAUUUAGUAUAUUUUGGCCAAUUAAUUAACAUGAGAAAUGAAUUGCUAAGCUCUGAAUAAGGAAAGAUUGUGCAGUAAGAGCAUCAUUUUUGCUAAAGAAACUACCCGGCCACGAGAAUGUAAACUUAGUCGAUUUUUUGAGCAUUGUUAAUUCUUUUCUCAAGGCAGUAAAGUUCAUUUUUUCUAGUUUUGAUAGAUUCUUAGAUAUAUUCACUUCCAGGUAUUUAAAGUAGAUAUUACAGAGAUUCAGGCCAGUUGUUUGUGCUAGUGCAUUUGUAGGCUUGGCGGGGUGUACAUAUACAUAAACUCAGAUUUGGUGAAGUUAACAGUGAAUCCAGAUAUCUUGCCAUAUAUAGCAAGUUGGUGCAUAACAGAAGGUAAAGAGGCUUCAUAAUCAGAAAGAAAUAAUACUUUGGCAUUCCCCCCCCCUAUCUUGAGGAAAUUUCACUUCAAACUUCCCCUCCCCACUGCAAAAGAGGGAGUCAAAAAAGUUCAUACCAGAGGACUAGCAUUGCUAGGACCCUCAAACUGUUUUUAAACUUAAACCAUUUUAAAACUUGAUGAGAACUAUUUUCAAGAAAGAAACUGUUUAGAGGAGGGUGUUGCAUUUAAAUGUCCUUUCUGUUCAAAAUACUAAAUGUUUUAUUGCUGCAGCUCUUCCUGAGAACAUGUCAAGUAAUGGUUUAGACUCUAGAGGGCCUCUGAGCCUAAGAAAAGUGCCUUUCCUGCUGAAUAUUUACACUCAUGCAAAAAAAGGUGCAGAAAAGAAAACCUCUAAUCACACUCUUGAAAACCUACAGGUGAAAUAAUAAUACUAUUCAGUCUCUUCUCUCUGCCUGUGCUCUACUGCCUGUGCCAUGCAACCUAUCCCCAUUAGUAGCUGGGCUUUGCCAAUGGGAGAACCUCAGGUUAGCAGGAGUCAAGAAAUUUAAUGAGAUAAAGGGCUCACUUCAAUAGGGAAACAUUCAAAGGACAUCUACCAAUGGUAGGGAACACUUGGAAAUGUGGUUUGCAAAACAAAUUGGAAAGUUUCUGACAAAGUACAGCUAGAUCAGGCAUAGGCAAACUCCAGCCCCCCACUGGUCCUGUUAGGGAUGAUGGGAAUUGUAGUCCCAAACAUCUGGAGGGCCGGAGUUAAUGCCUGAGCUAGAUAAUCUACAUGUGUACUGAAAGCUAAUUUGUCUACUUUUGAUAUAAAGAGGUUAGACCUUGCUGGAGAGGUGCUCCAAAAUAGAGACUCUGGGUCAGCACCUGUUAACCUGGAAUAUUUUGAACUUUCCCAGGCAAGUGGGAAAGUAGCUAUUAUCAGUCUCCAUUAAAUCUGUAGUAAAACAGCACAAAGAGACUUAUUUCAACACUGAUGUUCAAAAGUAGAUGUAGAACAGAAUAAAAAGUAAAAAGGUUGAUGUGAGUGCAAAGGUUUGUGUAAAUGUCUUUAGAAACCAUGGUUUAUCUUGUCAAUGUAUUGUUGUUGUUUAGUCGUUUAGUCGUGUCCGACUCUUCGUGACCCCAUGGACCAUAGCACGCCAGGCACUCCUGUCUUGCACUGCCUCCCGCAAUUUGGUCAAACUCAUGUUCGUAGCUUCGAGAACACUGUCCAACCAUCUUGUCCUCUGUCGUCCCCUUCUCCUAGUGCCCUCAAUCUUUCCCAACAUCAGGGUCUUUUCCAAGGAUUCUUCUCUUCUCAUGAGGUGGCCAAAGUAUUGGAGCCUGAGCUUCACGAUCUGUCCUUCCAGGGAGCACUCAGGGCUGAUUUCCUUAAGAAUGGAUAGGUUUGAUCUUCUUGCAGUCCAUGGGACUCUCAAGAGUCUCCUCCAGCACCAUAAUUCAAAAGCAUCAAUUCUUCGGCGAUCAGCCUUCUUUAUGGUCCAGCUCUCACUUCCAUACAUCACUACUGGGAAAACCAUAGCUUUAACUAUACGGACCUUUGUCGGCAAGGUGAUGUCUCUGCUUUUUAAGAUGCUGUCUAGGUUUGUCAUUGCUUUUCUCCCAAGAAGCAGGCGUCUUUUAAUUUCGUGACUGCUGUCACCAUCUGCAGUGAUCAAGGAGCCCAAGAAAGUAAAAUCUCUCACUGCCUCCAUUUCUUCCCCUUCUAUUUGCCAGGAGGUGAUGGGACCAGUGGCCAUGAUCUUGGUUUUUUGUCAAUGUAUUAGCUUUACCCAAACUCUUAUUGCACUGGUAUUAUUGAUUGAAAUUGUUUUAAACUGUUUUUAAUACUGUACUCGUUGCAAUCUGUCCUGGGACUUUAAGGUAAAAGGCAUGAUUAUGAGGAUCAUAGAAUCAUAGAACUGUAGAGUUGGAAGGGACCACGAGGGUCAUCUAGUCCAACCCCCUGCCAUGCAGGAAUCUUUUGCCCAAGACCCAUGACCCAUGGCUUUUGCUCAAACCCAUGACCCUGAGAUUAAGAGUCUUAUGCUCUACCGACUAAGCUAUCCCAAAUGAUGAGGAUGAUGAUGAUAUUCCUGUGAGUUUCAGCAAAAUGUAUGCUGUUCCAGGAGUCACAUGUCUGAAAAUGAAUUACCAUAAUGUGGGAAAUCUUAACUGUUUUCUACCUAAUUAGGUUCUACAUGGUGAAGUGCACACCACUCAGAUAGGUAUGCUAUGGACAGCUCUCUAUAGUGGACAAAGCUGAUAACUGGUUUUAAUGAACAGCAGUGUUCAUAGAAUUCAGUGGUAUUUAGGUAGCCCAUGUACGGUUGUCACCUAAGUUAAUGCAACUCACCUCUUAAAUUGGGAUAAAUGAGUUUUCACCAGCAUGUUUAAUAUAUAAGGAAAGCACAACAAUUACUAUUUUAGUGAUUUAAAUUCAGUUUCGUCCAACUUCCUAGAUGAGGCUUCCUCAACCUCGGCCCUCCAGAUGUUUUUGGCCUACAAUUCCCAUGAUCCCUAGCUAGCAGGACCAGUAAUCAGGGAUGAUGGGAAUUGUAGUCUCAAAACAUCUAGAGGGCCGAGGUUGAGGAAGCCUGUUCUAGAUAGUCAGAAAAGCCUAUCUAAGAAAUUGGAUGUGGUUUUUUUUAUCACUGUAUGAAGCAAUACUGUAGAACCUGUUGUUGUUGUUGUUGUUGUUGUUAUUAUUCUUUUGUCAUUUAGUCAUGUCCGACUCUUCGUGACCCCAUGGACCAGAGCACACCAGGCACUCCUGUCUUCCACUGCCUCCCGCAGUUUGGUCAAACUCAUGAGAAUUUUUUCUCUGCUAUGAUCCCCGAAAAGAUUACUGGGGUUUCUUAACUCCUAUGACUGUGCCUAGGAUCCAGGGUUUGGCAGCUGUCUACAACAACU